rnacentral:rRNA from 1 species
AUUGAACGCUGGCGGCAGGCCUAACACAUGCAAGUCGAGCGGAUGAAGGGAGCUUGCUCCUGGAUUCAGCGGCGGACGGGUGAGUAAUGCCUAGGAAUCUGCCUGGUAGUGGGGGAUAACGUCCGGAAACGGGCGCUAAUACCGCAUACGUCCUGAGGGAGAAAGUGGGGGAUCUUCGGACCUCACGCUAUCAGAUGAGCCUAGGUCGGAUUAGCUAGUUGGUGGGGUAAAGGCCUACCAAGGCGACGAUCCGUAACUGGUCUGAGAGGAUGAUCAGUCACAACGGAACUGAAACAAGGGCCAGACUCCUAAGGGAAGCAGCAGUGGGGAAAUUUGGGAAAUGGGCGGAAGGCUUAUCCAGCCAAGGCGCGGGGGGUAAGAAGGGCCUUCGAUUUGAAAAGCACUUUAGGUUGGAGGAAGGGCAGUAAGUUAAUACCUUGCUGUUUUGACGUUACCAACAGAAUAAGCACCGGCUAACUUCGUG